rnacentral:rRNA from 1 species
CCUACGGGUGGCAGCAGUGAGGAAUAUUGGUCAAUGGACGAGAGUCUGAACCAGCCAAGUAGCGUGAAGGAUGACUGCCCUAUGGGUUGUAAACUUCUUUUAUAUGGGAAUAAAAUGUUCCACGUGUGGGAUUUUGUAUGUACCAUAUGAAUAAGGAUCGGCUAACUCCGGGCCAGCAGCCGCGGUAAUACGGAGGAUCCGAGCGUUAUCCGGAUUUAUUGGGUUUAAAGGGAGCGUAGGUGGAGUGUUAAGUCAGUUGUGAAAGUUUGCGGCUCAACCGUAAAAUUGCAGUUGAAACUGGCAGUCUUGAGUACAGUAGAGGUGGGCGGAAUUCGUGGUGUAGCGGUGAAAUGCUUAGAUAUCACGAAGAACUCCGAUUGCGAAGGCAGUUCACUGGACUGCAACUGACACUGAGGCUCGAAAGUGUGGGUAUCAAACAGGAUUAGAUACCCCUGUAGUC